rnacentral:rRNA from 1 species
UACAGAGGAGCCAAGCGUUGUCCGGAUUGACUGGGCGUAAAGCGCACGUAGGCGGCUUUUUAAGUCAGGGGUGAAAUCCUGGAGCUCAACUCCAGAACUGCCUUUGAUACUGGGAAGCUUGAGUCCGGAAGAGGUGAGUGGAACUCCGAGUGUAGAGGUGAAAUUCGUAGAUAUUCGGAAGAACACCAGUGGCGAAGGCGGCUCACUGGUCCGGUACUGACGCUGAGGUGCGAAAGCGUGGGGAGCAAACAGG